GUAGUAAUAGAGUUGGGUUUUUUCGUUCUUCCCUCUGUCAAGAAAAUCUAAUGGUUAGAGCUGCUUGGGAUGGAAAGAAAACAUCCCCCCUUAAAGCCAACAUCAUUUAACUAUGCCAGAAUCAGCUGGCAAGAGGUAAUGUUGUUGUCUUGAUAGAUUGCUUCCCUAUCCUGCCAACCUCCUCCUGUUCAUCUAACCCCGGCCCCAUACACUCAUAGGCCUCAGAAUACUUCUUCAGUGCAUCCCCAACAGGAGAUCCAUGUGGUAGUUUGUAGACAGCUGCUAUGACACUGAAUGGAGUUUUAGCUGGAUUUUCAACUCCCUCCCUGUUUGCACCUUCUAGCCACCCGUAUUUGUAUUGUAUAACAAUCUGCUUUAUCAACCCAGACCCUUUUACAUAACAGAGCAUUAUGCCCACUGCUGCUAUGGUUACAACCUGAUUUCACCGGCUAGGAAUUAAACUACUGUAUGGUCUCUUACAUCUAGCAGACAUUUAAGGGCACUGGCUUUCAGAUACUGAACUACUGGACUAGUGAAUGAUGGUUUUGUGCUCUCUGUGCAAGAGACAUGGGGGGAUGCAUCUGAGACCAUCCAUAUAAGACCAGAAUGCCAUACUCUGGAGCUUAAAACCUGGUCCUUGAAGUCUACAGGCUUUCUGAGGCUAUAAUUUUGGGGAGUGGAGAGCAGCCAUGCCAGUCAAAAGAGUUAUGGGAAUCACAGUUUACAAUGUCAUCCACAUCACAUUAAGUCUCACUUUCUCUCAGUACACGAAGAGCCCACAGAUACUUUCAUUCAUCAUUAACUUCAUAUUUGAUUAAGAAGAAAAUCAAACACAAAAGGACAAAAACAAAGUCU
rnacentral:lncRNA from 1 species